rnacentral:rRNA from 2 species
GCGGCGCGCUUAACACAUGCAAGUCGAGCGAUGAAACUUUAACAGAACCCUUCGGGGCGAAGAUAAAGUGGAUUAGCGGCGGACGGGUGAGUAACACGUGAGUAACCUGCCUUAGACAUUGGGAUAGCCUCGGGAAACCGGGAUUAAUACCAAAUAAAAUCAUAAUGACACAUGUCAUAACGAUCAAAACUCCGGUGGUCUAAGAUGGACUCGCGUCCCAUUAGCUAGUUGGUAGAGUAAAAGCCUACCAAGGCGACGAUGGGUAGCCGGCCUGAGAGGGUGAACGGCCACAUUGGAACCGAGAAACGGUCCAAACUCCUACGGGAGGCAGCAGUGGGGAAUAUUGCACAAUGGAGGGAACUCUGAUGCAGCGACGCCGCGUGAACGAAGAAGGCUUUCGAGUCGUAUAGCUCUUUUAUAUGGGAAGAUAAUGACGGUACCAUAAGAAAAAGCCCCGGCUAACUACGUGCCAGCAGCCGCGGUAAUACGUAGGGGGCUAGCGUUGUCCGGAAUCACUGGGCGUAAAGGGUUCGCAGGCGGAAAUGCAAGUCAGAUGUAAAAGGCAGUAGCUUAACUACUGUAAGCAUUUGAAACUGCAUAUCUUGAGAAGAGUAGAGGUAAGUGGAAUUUUUAGUGUAGCGGUGAAAUGCGUAGAUAUUAAAAAGAAUACCGGUGACGAAGGCGACUUACUGGGCUCAUUCUGACGCUGAGGAACGAAAGCGUGGGUAGCAAACAGGA